rnacentral:rRNA from 1 species
UGAGGAAUAUUGGACAAUGGGGGCAACCCUGAUCCAGCCAUGCCGCGUGCAGGAAGACUGCCCUAUGGGUUGUAAACUGCUUUUGUACAGGAAGAAACAUCCCGACGUGUCGGGACUUGACGGUACUGUAAGAAUAAGGAUCGGCUAACUCCGUG